rnacentral:lncRNA from 1 species
AUCAGGAGGAUUCCAAGUGUAAUUGGCCUCCAGGGAGUAUGUAAGUCACUCUUGUACACCCCCUCAGACCUCCUUAAUGCCUUGCCAGCUGGAAGGAAAAGAGCCUCUUGCAUUGCCCACAAAGGAAGCAGAGAUUGAGGGGAGAAGAACUGGAGAAAUUAAAAAAGUGGAAAGAGACAGCAACACAAAUAAAGAGGUUGAGUACCAGUAGAAACCUCAUAUUUACCUGGAAGAUUACUUUUAGGAAGCUUGAAGAAUUCUCUCUUCCAACUUGGUUAAUCUGAGUUCUGUGGCACCUACAAGAGAAAUGGCUGCUUAUAUGUGACAACCUGCAGAUCUGAGCAGCAGGGGAACAAAGGCAGGGCCAACACAAUGGCACUGGUCCCGUUGAGUCCUGGGGAGUCCUCAGCUUUCAGGAGU